AACGAACGCUGGCGGCAGGCCUAACACAUGCAAGUCGAACGGUUGUAGCAAUACAGCCGUGGCGCACGGGUGAGUAACGCGUGGGAAUCUGCCCAGUAGUACGGAAUAACAGUUGGAAACGACUGACAAUACCGUAUACGCCCUUCGGGGGAAAGUUUUUCGCUAUUAGAUGAGCCCGCGUCAGAUUAGCUAGUUGGUGGGGUAAUGGCCUACCAAGGCGACGAUCUGUAGCUGUUCUGAGAGGAAGACCAGCCACACUGGAACUGAGACACGGUCCAGACUCCUACGGGAGGCAGCAGUGGGGAAUAUUGGACAAUGGGCGAAAGCCUGAUCCAGCCAUGCCGCGUGAGUGAUGAAGGCCUUAGGGUUGUAAAGCUCUUUUGGCGGGGAAGAUAAUGACGGUACCCGCAGAAUAAGUUCCGGCUAACUUCGUGCCAGCCGCCGCAGUAA
rnacentral:rRNA from 1 species